AAGUCGUAACAAGGUUUCCGUAGGUGAACCUGCGGAAGGAUCAUUACCGAGUGAGGGCCCUCUGGGUCCAACCUCCCACCCGUGUUUAUUUUACCUUGUUGCUUCGGCGGGCCCGCCUUAACUGGCCGCCGGGGGGCUUACGCCCCCGGGCCCGCGCCCGCCGAAGACACCCUCGAACUCUGUCUGAAGAUUGUAGUCUGAGUGAAAAUAUAAAUUAUUUAAAACUUUCAACAACGGAUCUCUUGGUUCCG
rnacentral:misc_RNA from 1 species